AUAAUAAACAUUAUUAUCUUAAUUCUGCUAACAAGAAUAACUUAUAGCAAAGGUGAUCUAUAUUUUAAAUAGCUACAACUCUUAAAUUUUU